CCUACGGGAGGCAGCAGUGGGGAAUUUUGGACAAUGGGCGAAAGCCUGAUCCAGCAAUGCCGCGUGAGUGAAGAAGGCCUUCGGGUUGUAAAGCUCUUUUGUCAGGGAAGAAACGGUGUGGGCUAAUAUCCUGCACUAAUGACGGUACCUGAAGAAUAAGCACCGGCUAACUACGUGCCAGCAGCCGCGGUAAUACGUAGGGUGCAAGCGUUAAUCGGAAUUACUGGGCGUAAAGCGUGCGCAGGCGGUUUUGUAAGUCUGUCGUGAAAUCCCCGGGCUCAACCUGGGAAUUGCGAUGGAGACUGCGAGGCUAGAAUCUGGCAGAGGGGGGUAGAAUUCCACGUGUAGCAGUGAAAUGCGUAGAGAUGUGGAGGAACACCGAUGGCGAAGGCAGCCCCCUGGGUCAAGAUUGACGCUCAUGCACGAAAGCGUGGGGAGCAAACAGGAUUAGAUACCCUGGUAGUCCACGCCCUAAACGAUGUCUACUAGUUGUCGGGUUUUAAUUAACUUGGUAACGCAGCUAACGCGUGAAGUAGACCGCCUGGGGAGUACGGUCGCAAGAUUAAAACUCAAAGGAAUUGACGG
rnacentral:rRNA from 1 species